rnacentral:rRNA from 1 species
UACGAAGGGGGCUAGCGUUGCUCGGAAUCACUGGGCGUAAAGGGCGCGUAGGCGGACUCUUAAGUCGGGGGUGAAAGCCCAGGGCUCAACCCUGGAAUUGCCUUCGAUACUGAGAGUCUUGAGUUCGGAAGAGGUUGGUGGAACUGCGAGUGUAGAGGUGGAAUUCGUAGAUAUUCGCAAGAACACCAGUGGCGAAGGCGGCCAACUGGUCCGAUACUGACGCUGAGGCGCGAAAGCGUGGGGAGCAAACAGG